AGCUUUGGAGACACAAAGCCCUGCGCACAGGCUGCUCACGCAACGGGCUCAGGGCUUUGACUGCCAAGAGCUGCAUUCACGUGGAUAUUCUGCCUACCGCUGAUACUUGAGGGGCUUUUGUUUUGCUUUGCUUAGAUUUGUUUAUUUUUAUCUCACAGGUAUGAGAGUUUUGCCUCUAUGCAUUCCGCGCAUGCCCUUGCAGAGGUUCCUCAGAGCACCAGUCAAGUCUGCAACAAUGUUAUUUAUCAUAUCAUCUGACUCUCACUCUCACCCCAGAUGGGCACUGGCCGGGUCCUUGGCACUCCAGCAGUCCCUGGCAUCUGAGCCAGAUGGAACUCAGAGGAUUUUAAGGGUGCUCUUAAGAAUUAAGGAAGAGAGUCUCAAGGCCCAGUAAGGAUUGCCUUUAACCCACAAUUUUUUUCUGGUAAAUCUGAAUUGGAAAACUGCAAGAGGUGUGUGGCUGAGGCUGUAUGCUUUCCCAAAGGUGCCUCCUGGAGAAGAGCCAUCAUCCAGGAGCUGGUGCACAGGGGAGAUGGUUCAUAGCUUAAUAAACCCAACGCACGCUGAAAAUGUAGGUUGCAGUGCCACAGUUCACCGUGGGCUAUCAGCUGGUUCCUUGGUGAUCUCCAGGAUGACCGAAAGCCAUUAUUCUGUCCACUGUCAAUGUAAGAGAAGGUGGCACUGCAGGUGCGAGGAAGAGGUCCCAACUUGAAAUUAGAAUUGUGAUAUCCAAAGUGUACGUGUUGUUUUCUCACCAUCGUAAAAUUGCAGCUUUGAACUUUGACCCUCCAACUGAAAGACCCACACGUGAGGACUCCCCCAUGUUCUGACUCAGGUGAGGCAACACCCCAAAUCACUCACGCUAUCUCGUGACUCGGGUGGGGGUAUCCCCACGGAGGUCUUUCACUACCUUCAUCUUCUCAGUACUCCCAUUGCCCACUGGGGAUUAACUCCAAGGGUUUGUGCUGUUAGGAAAACACUUUACCCACUGAGCUAUGGCCCCAUGCCCUGCGUUGUGAUGCUCUGAUCCACCAGGUUCAUCUCCAUCACGUAUAUGGUACUAUCUGUGCCAUACAGUGCAUGCCUUACUUCCCUUGCCUAUAAAAUGGUCAUGAUGCUGUUGGGAGGAUUCCAAAGCCUAGAGGGCCUAAGAGCUAGCACCCUUUUAAGUGCAAAACACAACUUUGAAAUGAUGGGUGAGGAGGGCAGAAUGUGGCACAAGGAAAACAAGCAUGUAGAUCAAGCUGUUUCCAGGUAACUGCCAUCUCUCCACUAUAACACAUUCUGUGUCUCAAAUAUGGAGAGAAGGAUUAGGAGACAGACAUCUGGACCUUCUCUAGAACACUCAACCUCGUGAACAUGGUUCUGUGGACCCCAAACUGCCUUGCACUCUGUCAAUGAUGACUGGGUCUCCUGAAAGUCAGCUGAUGCACAAAGUAGACAAUACAAGACCCUUCCAUCUCCCUUCCCCAGCUAGCCUUUGGGCUCCAUUAGCAUUCCACUUAAUGAGGUCAUUGUGUUGUGGGCCCAGCUAUCAUGUUUGUCCCUCCUUCCCAUUGUUCUUUGUAUCGCAGUCUAUAAGAGGAGGCCCAUCUGUCUGUUCCUUUGGAUAUUAUUUUAUUUCCACUAUAUGUUUAAGAAACCUGAGAUUCUGAAAGAUUGACUCUACAAGUCUCCUCGGGUAAUGAACUUUGGAGACAAAUUUGAAACUGGUUUGCUGAUCAAAGCCACUGAAAGCAACUUAAUGAUGUGAAAAGGAAUUCCAUCGCAAAAUUCUUGCAAACGAUAAGCUUUGUUACACAGUGAAAUGGAAUAAAAUUGGUCACCUCGGGGUUUAGCUAGUUUUCAUUCUUCCCCAUGGCAUUGUAUGCUAUUUAAGGUCCAUGUACAUGUUUACAAUGUCUUUGCUGUAACGGAAAAACUUGAUCCUUGUCUUCAUCUACACAAAACAAUGCUUUUGUGAUCUAUCAACUCAGAAAAAGAAAGUGCUUUGGGAAAUAAACUACCAUGUAAGGGACUGAUCAGAAGAAAAAACAAAAAGAAUACCAUCACUAGGUAGGAAACUGUGCCCUCGGGAUGCAGGAGGCCAGAGCUGGGACAGGUGGGAUCAGUGGGUUCUGAACCUUCAAGUAAAUGGUGGACUUCAGGGAAGAUGAGGAAAUUGGAGGAGGAAGGAGAGGAGGAGAGGAAGAGGAAGAAGAAGGAGAGGAGGAGAAGAGGAGGAGGAGGAAGAGACUGCAGAGUCUCCAAUUGCUCAGAGCUUUCAUUCUGGGCUGCAGCCCUCACUCCCCCAGCCCUACCCCAUGGAGGAGCCAGGCACAGCAGGAGAACCUCUGGGAAGUAAGGGAUCAAAGGAUGCCAGCCUGGUCCAGGACCGCAUCCAGCCUUCUUUCAAACAGCAAGCUUUCUGGUGAUGCUGGUAUGAUAUUUUACAAGAGUCACCCUUGAAGACCCUUGCACUGACCAGCUGAUUAGAGGGUAUGAGGUACAAUGCCAAUUUUGUUUCCUUCCGCUGGCUUUGCUGCCUAACACAAGGAGACUUUUGGACAAAGCUGUGUACCUGAACCAACACACAUUUCCUCCAGAGGGCAACUCUCUAGGACUCGUUUCUAUAAGUUAAAUAAAACUCAACAGCCCACAAGGAAAGGAUUAAAAUGGCAUUUGCAGUAAGUUUUUACAUUGAGUGGUGGAAAACCUCGAUUCCCGAGGUCCCGAGGUCUUCCUUCCCUGGACACAGUGCUGGUGGUCCCGAUUUGUAAGUUCCACCCCUGUUCUCCAUCCCCAGUUGAUGUUGUAGUUUUGACCCUACCUCUGUGGCCCAGAGGCCAUUCUGUUUCUGGGUCAGAGGGCCUGAGCUGAGGUUCUGUGAGUUGGGACAUUGGGUCCCACAGUUCAUCUUCUUCUCUGGGUUGGCUAUUCCACCCGGGGCUGCAGGUCGGAGCACCCCGUUAGAGGACAGUCCGUCUUCCAGCACACCUGGGGAGGCAAGGAGAGAAUGGCACCAGAGGCUUGCAAAUGGCAGCUGUUACAAGCAAUCCCAAGGUGGCAAAGAAAGGGCAGCUAAUAGCAAAAGGUGGCCUCAAGUUCCACCUGGUAAAGCUAUCUUUUCCUGUAAGAAUACGUGUGUUUUUACGUUAAAAAUAAGAUUUAAAAAUAGCUUUGUAGCUUGAAGUUUUCACUUAACACAUUGAUGGCAACUUUUCCACAUUAUUAAACACUCGGCCAUGUUAUUUUUUACACGUCUGCUGGUCGUACGAACAAGCAAUCAUUUAACCAAUGCCCUCUAACUGGAUAUUUGUUUCCACGUUCUAAUGCUAGAUGUUACUGGAAUAACAUUCCUUUUGAUUAAUAAUUUUAUUCCUAGUGGUUCUCUGGGAUAAAUUCCUAGAAGUAAGGUCACUCUCUUGACGGUUACACAAAGAUAAUUUUUCCUAGUCUCCACCUAUUGGACUGAGCAAGUGUGUCUCCCACAACAAAUGCCAAGAAACACAGAACUUCAAAUAAAUGACCUCACUAAAAAGCAAAAGGAGGACAAGAUGGGAAUUCAGGACACACAACAAGUACCUGAUUUGUAGGAGAAAAAGGCCCAGGGAUCAAAGAAGGGAUCUGCCAAAUGAGCGGAGAGAAGCCAGCCAGAUGCCACAGGAGUUACGGGCAUGAGGGAACAGCCAGAGAGGCCAUCCCUUUUCCUCCACCAGCCUAGUCUAGAUGGCCGUCCACCAUCUGGGACUUGGCUCACAACAGGAAGCUGUACCCAGGGGCCUUGAAUUUCACUUGUAUGACUCAAAUUCAAAAAUAAAAUGACUAAGAGUGUC
rnacentral:lncRNA from 1 species